GCCAACCUGUCCAUCGGGGAGCAAAAUGUAAAGAUUUCUCCACAUUCACUGGAAAUAAAACUCCAUCAGCAGCUCCAUCAUCAACCAAGCCAUCCGACGAGUUGUUUACACAAGCCGAUUUUCCUCCCGUGAACAAUGAACUGCAAACAUUAUCGCCGCCGAACGAAUCUAUUGUUGAAGAACGACGACAAGAGAAGGAAGACGAAUGGACUGACAUAGACGAACACACAUCGAGCUCAUCUGCCGACUACACUGAGGUUACACACAAGCGACGGCGUUCAAAAAGGAACACUGAUAAAAAAAUACACGUUCGAUUCAUGUUUUUCGGAAUAUGCAUAUUUUCAAUCGGCUUACACCAUCAAGUCUGGUGUACUUCACAUCGAUGACAUGUUCUUCACAAACUCAUUUCAUAUGUCAAUGUUUAUGUCGUAUUCCAUACUUGUUCCACCAUAAUAUGAUGUGCAUAUCAAUGGAUACCGAUAACAAAUACACAUUGGACGUAUAUGUUCCAAAAUGUGAAUAUUUCAUUUCAAUUUACACCAUGGAGUCUAAUGCAUUUCACAUCACUAAGAUGUUCUUCACAAACUCAGUUCAAAUGUCAUUAUUUAUAGCAAUUUUCAUACUUGAUACACCACGAUUUCUUAUGUUUGUCUAUGAAAUGUUAUAAACUUACUCAAACUAAUAAGAGAUGCAUUCAAACAAACUUAAUUGUGUUACUUUUUCAACGAGAAAGCACAUGGUUCGAAAAAAAAAACGCUGUAAACUAUAAAUAAUUUCUCCGAUGAACAUGGACGAAAUCAGGAGUAAAAUCGUACCCAAUAAUCUUAUAUAGCAGCGGCCAACAAUCCAACAGCACCAGUCGUACAUCGCUGAACUACAGUUAAACAGAAUUAGCAACCGUCGUCCCAUCAACAGUAAACAGCCGGAUGUAUUUGAGUAUUCCAAUUCCCUCCUGAGCUUUCCUGAGUCUUUCCUGAGCUCGUGAAACAUCAAAUCAUGGAAUGCUUAGAAGCUCACCGUAACACUUGCUACCAUCGUACAAACAGUAAAUCCACACAAGUACAUCCAACAAACCAACAUGGAAUUUGGAAGCUGUCGCAGGACAGUAGUGGAGGUUUACUUCCCGAUGGAGACGGUGGGGAUGGGGAAUAAAUCAAGAUCGGACUACGACACUCACGGAAUUUCAACCAGAAGCAUCACCUACCCAUAGGAACUUUUAUAACCGGCUGAUUGAUGCAAAUAAUGCUAAGUCAUAACUUU